GACCUCAGAUCAGGCAAGACCACCCGCU
rnacentral:rRNA from 2 species